rnacentral:rRNA from 1 species
CCUACGGGAGGCUGCAGUGGGGAAUAUUGCACAAUGUGGGGAACCCUGAUGCAGCGACGCCGCGUGAGUUAAGAAAUAUUUCGGUAUGUAAAGCUCUAUCAGCAGGGAAGAAAAUAAUGGUACCUUACUAAGACGCCCCUGCUAACUACGUGCCAGCAGCCGCGGUAAUACGUAGGGGGCAAGCGUUAUCCGGCUUGACUGGGUGUAAAGGGAGCGUAGACGGUUAUGCAGGUCUGAAGUGAAAGCCCAAGGCUCAACCAUGGGAUUGCUUUGGAAACUGUAAAACUGGAGUGCAGGAGAGGUAAGCGGAAUUCCUGGGGUAGCGGUGAAAUGCGUAGAUAUUAGGAGGAACACCAGUGGCGAAGGAGGCGUAAUGGACUGUAACUGACGUUGAGGCUCGAAGGCGUGGGGAGCAAACAGGAUUAGAUACCCGGGUAGUC